UUACUCUGGAGAGUCCUUCCACGGAAAGCAAUUAUCAUAUUUCCGUAUAGAAGGCGCCGAAGGUGUACGGCAGUAAAGCUGCCAAUCUCUCAGGCAAAAGGACAGAGCA
rnacentral:ncRNA from 1 species